GAAUCAAGUUCACCGGAAAGAUAUCGUCAUCGGGACAUUAAAAAGCAUUCCUCGCCGACGUCUGGGCGACGUAAGACACCGGAAAGAUCUGGGCGCAGUGAAAGACCAACACACAGCCAUGAUAAACAUAAUUAUAAUGUAAAAUCUAACAAUACAAUGACUGAUAAAUAUAAAAGGAGUCGUAGAAGUAAAUCACGUUCACCGCCACAUAACGCCAAUAAGAAGACUGUCGAAAAAGUUCCUUACUAUCGUGAUGAACAACGUGAAAAAGAUCGUAUAAGGCGAUUAUAUGGACGUUCACGUUCUCGUACACCACCGCCACCAGUGGGAAACCUAUCGUCAUCAUCGUCGUCGUCAACUGCAAAGCGACGUAUUGAAAGUCCAUCGAGACGGCGAAGACGUUCAACCAGUAGAGAUCGUCAUCGUAGACAUUCACCAUACAUUCACCGAAGCGUAAGAAGAGACUACAGAAGCCGUCGUUCUAGAACACGUUCACGAACUCGUUCUCCACAAAGACGUGAACGUCACAAACAUUCUAGUAGAUCUAGCAGAGAGCGUGACAAGGAGCACAAAGAAGAUGUAAAUUCCUUAACAACUGCUAUUAUACCCGCAACACCUCAG
rnacentral:misc_RNA from 1 species